UUGAAAAGAAUGUCAUUUUAUUAAAAAGGGUCGUGUUAACAAGAAGUUUCCUCUAAAACUCUCUCAAAUAUGGCAUCAGUAAAGUUUAUUUCACUGGAUAUUUUUUUAUUUAUAUAAGAAGCAUGAACAUGAAAAUGUAGAAAUGUUUGCAAGAAUGUCUCUAACAACUAGAACCAAGAUCCUUCAACUCUUCACCACAAAAACGCAGCGUUCCGCUCUUGCUCGUGGAUCCAGAAAUGGUUUCCGGCUGGACCCGUUUAGAGAAUCCGAAUCUUUAUCGUGUUGUUCAUUCUCGAGCUCAGCUGCAAGUGCUGCGGUUGAGGCCGAAACGGCUUCACCAUCUGCUGAGGUGUUUGAAAGUUAAAAAUGUGUUUCCAAAAAUUACAACUCUUUAAGUGGUUGAAGCCACAUGGCAAAAUUCUAUUGGCAAUUUUGGCUUUCACAAGGAUUGGUUUUUGUUUGGAAAAACAAGGACCAUUGAUUAAAAUCAAUGGUUGAGAAUUAGAUCCACUUUUAUAUUACUUGGUGGACUUUUCAUUCACGUGGAAGGUUUUGGCAAUUAGGUGGGCAGAUUCUUUUCUUUCAAUUUGGGCUCCUCUUCCUUUCGUCUCUCUCUCUCUCGAUGCCCUUUCUUGGUGAUUUCUCAAGGUUUUCCACUUGUAUUAAAUCUAAAAUUCUGACCGGUGGUUGAUGAGGUAUCAACGGUAGUAUUUCGGCUAUUUUGUGGUCUACGGUCCGGUGGUAUUUUGACCGGAAAUCUGGUCCGUUUUCAGCGAAGAAAUAGUCGAUGUUUGGUAUUGUAUUUGAGCAGUUUUUAGCCUUGUUUUGGUGGAGAUUAAACUGUGAAGUCAGAUACUAUACUUGGUGUAGGUCAGGUUUCGAUUUGGUGGAGUAUUGUGAGAUCUUUUGUAUAGAUCGAUUAGGGUUGAUUCUUGAGGUUUUAGAGACUGAAUAUAGUGGUGAUGUUGUUCUCGGUUUGGAGUACAAUCUGAUUGUGUACCACUUGUAAACUGGACCCUUGGAAGGCGUAGUGCAUUGCAUUCAACGGGCUUACCCCUGAGCCCCCCAGAUUAGCCCUUAUUUGGGUGAACUGGGUCACCAAUUUGUGGUGUUUGUGUUCUUUAAUUUCUGCACUUUAAUUACUUGUUUGUGAUGCUGCUUUUUGAUUUUACCGAUUGAGUAUUUUUGGUUUGACUGUAAUGCUGAAAAUAUAAAAUCGUUUAGGGUAAAAUCUGAUUUGGGACCAAAAAUCCCAACAAAACUGGUAUCAGAGCCUGUGUUAGGCUUCUUGAGUAUUUUUUUGAUUUCUGAAAAUUUUCAAAUAAAUCAUCCUUGGUGAAAAAUAAGUUUUCAAGUGAUCUGCAAUUUGAAGAAACUAAAAAUUAAUUGCAGAGUCAGAUUUCUUUAUUUUCUUGGGUCAGAUUCUGAGGUUUCUUGAACCAAUGUUUGGGUAAAAUUCACUGGCUGGAAAUUUAGAGGAUUCUGCAGACCUCUAAUGUGCCUGCAGUGUUAUUGAAUUGGUUAAAAAUACUACUGAUAUUGUUUGAUCAAGUGUUUCAGGUUGAAUUACUGUUUUGGUUCCACUAAAUUGGAGUUGGACCUGCUGGACUCUUAGCUUCUUGAUAAGAAACUGGAUUCAGAAGUAUUAAACUGUUGUUCAACAGUUUUGGUGAGAUCGUUUAAAUUUCUAGGAUUAAAUUUAAAAUCUCAUGCUGGUUUCUUACUGUUUAAUGCAAAUUGGAAUUUGUUGCUGCAUGCCAUAUUGAUAUAUGUUGUAAUCUGGAGUGCAUAACUGUUAAUUGACGAAUUGCAUGUUAUUGCUGAGUAUUACACAUAUCUGGACUGCAUAACUUUUAAUUGACGAAUUACUUGUUAUUGCUGAUUAUCAUACAUGCCUGCAGCACACACAAUUCACAGUAAUCUGAUUUUUCAUUUCAUUUGUUUAAUUCUGAAAUUGUUUCUUGACUGAUCUGUAAAACCUGAGUGUUUUUUCAAAAACUUUUUCUGCUUAUUUUUGGGAAUCUGAGAUUACCAAAUGGCCUCGAGCUCAAAUCACCAUUCCAUUGAAUCUGUUAUGGGUUCAAGGGUAGAACUGUCUCAAUUCAAUGGAAAGGGGGAUUACUCAAUAUGAAAGCAGAAAAUGAGGGCUAUUUUCAAUUACCCAUUCCAGCUAUACCUGUCUAAUUACAUUGGCUCUGUAUUUUACUUUGUUUAGCUGACAUGGAGUUGGAAGUAUUAGACUGACAUGACCCUGCAUUUUACUUUGUUUAGCUGACAUGGCCCUGCACGUUACUUUGUAAGCUCCUUAUUCCCAAGAAUGCUGAUUGUUGAAUUUCUGGGAAAAGGGCUAUACCUGGCUAAUUACAUUGGCCUGCCAUUUUACUAUGUUUAGCUGACAUGGUCCUGCACGUUCCUUUGUAAACUCCUUAUUCCCAAGAAGGCUGAUUGUUAAAAAAAGAGGGAAAAGGAGCAUGGAAACUACUGCCUAGGAUGUACGCAGCUAGUGGUAGCUGCGUUAUUGCCUGUUACCAAUAGUUGCUUUUAAGGCAGCUAGAUAAUAAAGAGCAGCUUUUUUAUUAUUGCCUGUUACCACAUAAUUUUUUAUAAUAAAAUGAUAUAAAUUAUAUUGAAAAAAUUAUCGUAAAAAAAUAAUAAACAUUAUUAAAAUAAUUAUUUUUUAAAAAAUACAAGUUAUACGCAUUUUUUAACGCACGUAUUUGAUCAUGUACGUUUAAAAUUUUCGAUAUUAAUUUAGAUCAUUUGAUAUGUUUAUGAUAUAGUUUUCGAAAUGAGCGUCGAGAGAAUAUAGAAAAUUUAUGGAUUCGACUAGCAUAAAAUUAUCAAAGAAUUUUUAAAGUUAACUUGUUAUCGAAAUUCUUGAAAUAUCAGUUUGAAAAUGCAUACUUUGACGCACUGUAAAAUUUGCUACGAUUGGUCAUUUCAUUCACCAUUGACGACGUGAAAUACUAGAUUAUGAAUAUUUCAAAAUGAGAUUAAGAAUGUAAUAUUUCGACAUCGUUUGAAUUUAUGAGUGUGUCACGGAGAGAGUUUCUCUGCUGUGUGAGCAGUGUGUCACGGAGAGUGUGAAUAUAGAUGGAGAGAAAAAUUACAAAUCUACAUGACAAGGAGGAAGAAAUAACUACACAAAUAAAUCGCUCAAAAAGUUGCAAGUGCAAUAAAGUUAAACCAGCGUAUAAUCGCAAAACAUUUGCACAUAAAAAUGACAAACACCACUGCAUCCCAAAAUAAAAAAUUCCUUCAAAUCACAUUGCACACUUAGAAUUGUAAAUCAGCAAACAGCCCCACAGCUUUGGCCCUCGAAGAUGACAAAACACAACUCUAUCCUAUAAGCAAUGAGAUUAUAAUUAUAAUCUAAGAAAUCCUAGUAUUCCUCCCAAACCAUUUAGACCAAGUUAUAGCCAUCAGGACAAGGCCAUAACAUUUCAGCCUCUUCAGCAUUUUUAAACCCCAACAAAAAGGGUCAGAUAAAUCCAUUAGAAACAUAGACAAGCUGGAGAACUCAGGAUUUCACAAAUGCUAUCAGCUAUACCUCCUGGAAGAUGGGGAAUGAAAUAAAAGAUGUGGGUGUUUUUUGAUAGUCACAACAGAAAUCCCCUAUGAGAGACGCUCAUGUACUAAAUCAUUAUUAUUAAUUUUCAAUGUUCGUAAAUAAGCUUUUACCUUAGAAGAGACUUUAGAUUACCAAGUCUAAGAUAACAGCAAAGCCAAAAACAUGAUUAUUUAUUCCCUUGAAAAAGCAAUUAAAAAUAAUAAUUUAGGAGAUGAAUUUUUAAAUAGAUGAAGAAACAAAGAGAGGACUACGAACUGCAUACCAAGACAGAGACACGAACUGCAUCACAUGACAAGUCUGCUUCUGCAUCAUCAGUUUUCUCUCUGCUCUCAAUAAUCUAUAUUUACAAAUUUUCAUUAGCAAAAUUGACAGAUUGAUGAAUUGUAUAAGAAUUAUAAACCUACCAUGCGGAAUAUCGUGUGUGGCCUACUGCUGUAUACAUUCAUAUUUGUCUCCCCAAUAUGACGAUGAGCUGUAAAAUCAAUAACAGAGAGCAAAAGAGUUUAAAUUGUUAUCCACCGCUUGAAUAUUUGAUUACGUAAGACUAAGAUGAGGAUGAGGGUGGGUUUCAUUUGAGUUUCCCCUUUUCAAAUUUACAGAUGAAAGGGAAUCAAAAGGAACUUGAUUCAUUAUGGAUAAUAAUAGAUACAAUUAGAUUCUGAGCAUUCCUUUGAGAAUGGGAACUUUAGAAAGUAAGAACUGUCAGUACAUUUAGAUAAAUAAAAGGAGAACUUACAUUCCCCAAAUUCCAUGAGUUCAAGAACUUGAUCAGGAGACGCCGCAAUUACUUCUCUUAAACCGGCAACAAAAAUCCCUCGCUUCAUGUUAUAGAAAAACAAAAAGAAUGUGAGACACUGACGAUUAGUACUUAUCUGCACAAUGAAAGUAGUCAUAUAGGUGGAAAAAGCAAACUAAUAGAUCGAUACUUUCAUGAAUUUGCAAUUUCCGAUGCUCAGGAGCCAACAAAUCAUUUAUCUCCUCAUUGUAGAUCUCCAUGUAAGACAUGCGUAAAAGAAACUCCCGAUCCAUUUCCUAGAAGUGAGAAAUUACAAUCAAAGAGUAUCAGUUAAAUCCAAUAACAAGUCUAAAUAAAACAACUGGUUCAUUUGUUGCAAUAAGAUCAAAGUUUACUAGUUAACCGAUAUAACGCGAGACAACCUAUGGUUACCAAAAGACAUUCAUAAGAUUAGAAUAUAUAAGUGCAUACCCAUCCUUAUGUGUUCAACUUGCCCAGUACUCCACAUUGAUUGUGAUGUUAAGUCUCAAAGCCAUGUGGUUUACCACAUGAAUUAAUAAAUGAACUCGAUUUCCCAACACAAUGGCCUUUUAUAAUCUAUAUUUCAUGCGUGUAACUGUCCCGUUGCUUUAGCAAUAAUGAAAGCUUUAGGAGAUUGGACCUAAUGAGCUAGCUUUAGGAGAAGUUGCUUACAUAUACUGCAAAUAUACUUUCCAGGUUUAGACAAGAACCAAGUGAAAUCCAUUUCCAACUGCAAAAAGGGUGCUAAGAUACAUAAAAGGGAAUGUGGGGUUGGGAAUCUGGUUUAGGAAGUCAGAAAAAUUGGUUUUAACUAGUUUUACGGAUAGUGAUUGGGCUGGAUCGCUCGAUGAUAUGAAGAGCACCCCCGGUUAUGUAUUUUAUGCUGGUUUAAGUGUGAUUUGCUGGAACUCAGUACAACAGAAAAGUGUAGCUCAAUCAAUAGACGAGGCAGAGUGUGUGAGUAUGUAGCUGCUUUAGAAGCUACCGAUCAGGCUGUUUGGUUAAGAAAAGUUUUGGAGGAUCUAAACCACAAACAGGCUAAUGCAACUGUGAUCUUUUGUGAUAACCAAUUUGCUGUACCCAUGGUCAAAAAUCCGGUGUUCCAUGGAAGAACAAAACAUAUCAAAAUCAGGUAUCAUGCAAUUAGGGAAGCACAAGAGAAUUGUGAAGUGAAGCUGGUGCAUUUCAAAGCUGAAGACCAAUAUGCAGACAUAUAACCAAGUCAUUAUUGAAAGGAAGGUUUGAAACAUUAAGGAAAAGUCUUGGUGUUUCCAGCAAAAGUGUCAAGCAAGAGUGUUGAUGUUUAUUUGUCCCUUUUGCUAUGACUUUUUGUAACAAUUGUAUGUAUUAAAAUCAGUCCAUGUAGUGUUUAUUUUUUGUCAUUAAAAUGUCUUUCACAGCAUGGUUUAUCAUGUCAACAGCUAAGAUUGUAGUUGGUAGAAAGUUGUCGACUAGAAGCAAGGUAGCAAACUUUUGUAAUGUAUAUAUAUAAGGCAACUGAUCAUGGUCAUGUACUGAUCAUUUUUCUCUGCACAAGACCUAUCUUUCUCUUUGUUUUACAAAAUCAUCAAUUUCUAUCCAAAAAAUUUCUAAAUAAUAUGCAAAUUAACAAAAACUUUGUCUGCCCCAAGAAAAUACACUUGGGAAGAUCAAAUUCUCAAAACAAUCAAUACAAUGAAUUUGGACACUAUUAGGUUUCCUAAACAAUAGAGUAUCGCAUGAACAAAAAAAUUGAGCCAAUAUAACUGUACAAUGAUAAAAGGUAACUUAUCAUCAUGAUAGAUAUUCCUGCUUCGAUACUAGAGAGAAAAUAAAUCUAAAUAUGAAAUCGUUAAAUGCUUGAAUAUCGGACAAACACACUCAUAUUAUUAUAUAACGAUAACUAGUCUAAACAAGAACAUUACUGUAAAGAGUUGAUGUCCAUAGCAUCUAGACUAGAGGAAUGAUCCCCUCAUGCGGUGACCGAGGUGGUGGAGUAGGUAAGCGCGGAGACCUUUGGUCACGAGUUCGUUUCCCCCUACCAACACUUUCUCGGUCAAACUUGUCGCACAGGGCUUGCCCAGUGCAGUUUACCUGGUUGGCGUGAUUUAUAGGCUAUUGUGUUAGUCCGAGGGUUUAUCCAGUGCGCACCCGAAGGGUAGCGACUGCGAGUUUCCCGUCAUAAAAAAAAAAAAAGAAGACUAGAGGAAUGAAUGUGUGAUCUAUAACAAACUAACACAUGAACAACUGAAUGUACAUAACAGUACUUCACAAAAAAGUUACUUCAAGUUUGGAAUUAAAAACUUAGAUGACUACACAAAAGAAAGCUAAUUUAUUAAAACAGCUGUCAAGCAAUAAUCACACCCUUCAUCUUCUUGUCCCUCUUCACAGACUGUGGAACCAUGUCAAAGUCAGUCUUAUAUUCUUCUAUCUGCUUAUCGCACCCAUGCUUGAAAAGUUGAGCAUCAACGCAUAAUCUUGAUAAUAUCUGAUCGAAAUUUUUAGCUAUCACAUCAAUCUUCCCGUAUAUGAUACAUUCCGCAUACUUAAUAACAAACAAUCCACAGUCAUGCCUGUAUAGUUUUUGAAUAAAAAAUACAACAAAUGUAAGGUGGAUGUAGCAAGUAGAGCAGGGCGUGUGAGAAAGAGUAAAUGUUGUGAUAUGUGUAUAUGUAACAUUUAAUGUGAUGUGUCAACAUCCUUACAUGUAAGUUAACAUUACAAUAUAAAUUAUAAUUAGUAUUUACUCACCCAUACUCAUCUUGCGGUAUGACUCUAGCUAUCUUGAAAAUGAGAGGGUCAACGCGUUUUGCUCCAUCAAUGAUCUUGGGCUACCAGGUUUUAAUCAUAACCAUCAAGCAUGGCAGAACACAUGCAAAAAGCCUCCACAUCGGCAAUGACCAUUCUGUCUCUCACGGUUAAUCUGCUUGAUUUGUAAAUUGGGCAAAAAUCCAAUGAGCUUUGUUGUCCAUCAUGACUGGGAACAAUAUAUGACUCUAGCUAUCUUGAAAAUGAGAGGGUCAACGCGUUUUGCUCCAUCAAUGAUCUUGGGCUACCAGGUUUUAAUCUUAACCAUCAAGCAUGGCAGAACACAUGCAAAAAGCCUCCACAUCGGCAAUGACCAUUCUGUCUCUCACGGUUAAUCUGCUUGAUUUGUAAAUUGGGCAAAAAUCCAAUGAGCUUUGUUGUCCAUCAUGACUAGGAACAGUACAUGAUCUACAUCACACCAUGGCAUAUAAUCCCCAUUCAGAUAUUCUACAAGUGACGUGAAUUUUGAAAUUGCCCUUAUGUCAUCCAUCGUGACUUGUAUACUGGUCGAGCCAUAGAACCAAAGAAUGAGUCGGUCGUCAUACAUCUAUAUAACUUCAAAAAGCUGAACGUUAACAUUUUCCACAAAUAGUAGAAACACACGUUUAAGUACUGCAUUGAGGUUUGGCGUCCAAAAUAAUUAGAAAAUAUACUGUAAAACUAUUGGAAUUUCAGUAACAUAAAUUGAAAAUAACACACACUUACUAAAUUCCUGAGGUAUACGUUCGGCUGGCAAAGCUCAUACCAUCGUGUUUUCGUGUCGACGACAUAAGGACCAAACUGUAGCGGUGGCUUUAUAACUUCCUUCGAAUUUGGAAACUUGUUUUUGCUGAUUUGUGCGAGCAAUGAUCAAAAGAAACGAUAUAUAUAAAACUAAAAACAAUCAACGUAAAAAGAAUAGAACAAGUAAAAUUUACCUUACAUGUAUUUUAUACUCAAAUCAUUCUACUGUACUAAAAAAAUAAUUAAAAAUAAUACACACAACGAAAUAAACCACAGAUUAGUGACUCCGAAAAAUUUUGACUAAAAUUUUGCUGUCUUUCUUGCUUGAUAUGUAUGCAGUCUAACCAUUUUCUUCUUCUUAGCGCUCGAGUCACCCACAACAUUGUCGAUUUGCCUUUUACUGGUGGUGUUAACUUUGCGAUGGUUUUAUAUAUUCGAAAACAAUCCUGAAAAUUUGUAAAUUAGAGAUUGCAGAAUGGAUUUUCGGACAUAAAAUGUGGAAAUAAAAGGAUAACGAGGUACUAGACGAUGGAUUUUGAUGUGGAUGAUGAUUUCUUAGGAACCUUAGGUUAGGUUUGAAGUCUCGUAACGAAGAAGAUUGAAUUGGGAAUUUUGCAUAUCUCUGAAAUAAUUGAGUAGAGUUAAAUCGGGGAUUAAUAGUCAUUGAAUGUGGAACGUCAAAUCAGCAUAAUUCAUAUAACGUCAGUUACAAAUGAAUUUUAGAAUCUAUAUUUAGAAGUGUAUUUUUUAAUCUAAUUUACAUUCAUGUUAGUAUAUUUAGUUAUAUUUCAUUCACCUAGUAAAAUAUGAAAUCUUUAUUUGUAAUAGGCUAUAUACGAAUUUUUCCAUUUUUUCUUCUCCUUUUUAAACAUCGGAAAAAUUCGCAUUUGCUUAUGAAAUAUAAAGUAUUUCAUACAAUACCAUACAUAUUUCAAAAUUUAAAAUAUACCAUACAUUUCACAUGAUAUGAACUACCAUUUCAACUUUCCAAAAUAAUCUCAAUGUAACUGAAAAGCAUUUAUGAGCUGCCAAUAAGGAAAUCAUUUAUUUGCAUGGUAAUUCAAAACUAAAACUGGUUUUCCAAUGCCAGCAAUUUGAAUAUAUGAUUUCUUAAUCACUCUUCAACACUAUUUCAUGAUUUCACUCGCUGAUAUUAAUUAUCUGUACGUGAACCUCUCGAUUAAUUAUCUGAUAUUAACCUACAAUCUUAACCCGCGAUACAAAAUCAUUUGGUCUUCUGUUACCGACCAACGGCAGAUACCAUGAUCUAGUUGGCAUGACAUCGAUCGAGAUGCAUAUCGAUAUUAGUAUGGACAAGGUUAAAAUAUAUUACGAUGUUGGAGGUAGCAUGGCAUCUGUAACAACAAAUAUUCUGAAGGGGUAAUCAAGGCGGAAGUCAGGAACAAGUUGGACCUGCUACGCGUCUUGGUGGUGUCUCAGCCUCUAUGGAGACGACUACAAGGCUUAAUCGAGAGUAAUGAAGCUCUCUCUAUCUAGUUUGUACAGUUUAUUGGGUUGCGCUAUGGAAGGAGUGUAUGCCAGAGUUAAAUUUAGAUAGCUGUAAUCUACUCAUUUUAUAAGCAGCAGUGAAAAGCAUGGUUGAACGAGCAUGAAGUAAGUGCCAAUAAGUGAAAAAUGAUCUUCCAAUUUUUAAACACAUUUUUUCUCAUCAUGAAUUUUAUUAAUUUUUCUAUAUAUUUUAUAAACUUUUAUUAAAAUUAUAAUUAAUCAAUUCACACGGCUUUUUAGAAAGACUACAUAAAUCGACAAGCCCUAAAAAUGGAAUCAAUUGCAAAAACUAGAUUAUUGUCUGAAAUCUCACAAACCCACGAGCUAGCAUCACUCGAGAUAUGCUGACCUACUACUCCAAUAUGGUUUUUAUAUUGACGAUCCUAAAUCUCAUCAUCAGCAAAAUAUUAUGGAAACGACCAUUUCUUGAAAUAAUUUAUUUUGAUUUCACAGUAUGCCGGUUGAAGGUGAGCAGUCAGUGAGAUGAUACUUGAUUUUCUAGAUUAAUUGAUUUGGGGUUUUUGAUAGGCAUGGCAACAGGGAGCGUAUGGGACGGGUUUACCAUUCUCAUUCCCAUCCUAUCGAGUAUUUUUGUUAUCUUACUGUAUACCCAUACCCAGUUGAAGCGAAACGAGGUGAGUUCAGUGCUGGAUCGUGGCAGGCAGGGUAGGUCCCCUGCCCGAUUUAUCUCCCCAUUUAUUUUUUCUCUUUAUUUUUUAUUCAUUUUAUUUUUUUGCUUUUUUUUAUGUUAUUAGUUAGUAAAUAUUAUCACUUUUUUACCAAUUUGUUAAAAACGACUUAUGUUCUCUUUAUAAAUGAUAAUAAAUCUGUUAUUUUUAUUUGAUAAAAGCUUAAAUUUGAAAUUAGCAUUAAACAGGGCGGGGACUAUGUUUCUCAUACCCGCUUUGGGGUGAUGACCCUCAUCCCGUACCCGCCCCAUUUGGGGUGGGCCCCACGGGUAUCAGGUUGAACGGGUGCCAUCCCCAUUUGAUUUUGACUCGAGAAAUCUUAGCUUAUCUUUGUAAGUUGGGAUUUUUUGAGGUAAUGGCUGUUAAGUUGAGAUUUCCUCAUUGUGUUCCUUUUUUUGCUGGUUUUUGGAGUUGAUAAUUCAAUCAUUUGAUAAUUCACAAGAUAACAUCAUGUGAUUAUAACCGAAAGUGAAAUAUUCACAUAAGAUCAUAAAAUAUCAUCUCAAAAUUAUGAUAUAAACAUCAAUUGAUAAUCAUUCUAUAAUCUCAUCACAUCAAACGUACUGAAAAAUUCACCAAAAAUGUACCCUCUGACUGAAAUAUAUAAUCCGCCUCUCGGGUUGAGAACUCUCGCCACAGGCCUUUGGCCCCUCCGUGAACGAAAGUCGGUCUCAAAGCUUCUCAUAAUCAAUUCUAGAACACGGCCAAGGCCCUUCAGUGAACUAUAUAUACACGGUCGAGACCCCUCUAUCCUCGGUCCAAGACCCUUUAGUGUAGUAUAGUACACGGUCAAAGCCCCUCAGUGAAUUAGAAGAAAUAUAUAAUCGCGGGUACUUUUCUGGUACAUCUCAAAAUCAUAUCUCAUAUUUCAAUUCACAAUGUAACGUAUACAAUCUUUGAAAUCUCACAUGUAGCAUAAUAAUAGAUAUUUUCAUAAUAACCAUGUAAUUCGAACACAUAAUUACAUAUAAUUGCACAUACUUUAACAAUAAACUUAAUUUAUAAAUACUUUAAAAAUAUUUAUAUUUUUUCACUUACAGAACUAUGUUCGCAAAAUUAACCCAGUUGGCAAACUGUUCUGAUAUUAGUAUUGUCGCCUGAAAUAUGAUAUAAUUUUUAUAUAAACAAUUAAUUAUUUUAAAUAAUUUCAAAAAUUAAAUAGGCGAUACCUAAACUUUAUUAUUAUUUUAUUGUUUUGUGGUUUUUUUUCCCCUAGCUUGACACAUCUGACUAAAGUUUUUGUUUGAACCAUUUUAAGUAAUUAUAUUAUUUUAUUAUUUUAACUUGGUUAUUACACUCUUGUUCCCAUUUGGGAUCUUCCUCUAGGUCUGAUUCAAAUUGAGGCUCGGGCUCAACCUCAUCAUUGGGCUCAAUUACUAUCUUAGGUUGAGGUUCUAAGCUCUCACUCCACCUAUCUAGAAGGAUCUGGCAAUAUAUACUAAAUUCAAUUGUAUUUGGAUGCUCUAGAGAGUUACCUUCUAGCAUUUCAUCCCUAACCAUGACUCUCAUGUUUCCCCAUUGAGAUGGGAAUGAAUGUAUGAGAUUAUUCACAGCCUUGAUAUGCGUGAUCUCCAGUCCUGUAUCUACAGUUGCCAUACAUCUCUCGUAGAUGUCAUGUACGUGUUCAACAAAUGGACGAGACGGGUUAGUCACAUAGUUCGCAUAGGACAGAAUGAUAGACUUACGGUUCAACGCUGCUCUAAAGUUGUGGGCUUUCUAGUCUUCUGAUAAGUCCUAACCAUGUCUAUUACAUAAGUGUCCAAUUAUGUUUUAUCUUUGUUAGUGACAUCAACUUACACAUUAUGCACUUGAGGUUUUAAUAUAAUGAGCAAUUAUCUUUUCUUUAUUUUUAUUUAAACGAAAUAUAACUUACAUAACAUAUUUCAUUCUAAACAUUAUAAGCAUCUUCAUAGAUUCAAGUUUAAAUGAUUUAUAAAUCAUGCUCGAAAAAUAAAGUGGAACAUGAUAUUUUAUUCAAUACUUUGGGUUUGUAGGAUGAGGUCAACUGAUGGACGCAAUAUACCAUGGAGUGCCUUAAAUGUUUCGUUUUUCUCAUUUCAUAAAUAAAAUACACUAAGUCCACAGAAUCAACUAAACUUGUGCUCUGAUACCACGUUAUAACCCCACGACCCGCAUGGAUCGAAACGUCACCAGAUUAACUGUACUUUAGCUGUAAAUUAAUUUACCAUGUUUUUAGUGGAAGGUAUAAAAAUUAAAUUUUUAAAAUUUAAUUCAAAAUUUUUUUUUACUACUAAAAGAAAACAAUUUCAAAUAAUAAUAAUAAUAAAACGGGAUUCAUUCAUACCGUAUAUGCAACAUACCGUACUUACAACACACCGUAUUUGCAUCAUACUUUACACCAUACCAUAUUUGCAUCAUACCGUAUUGACGGCAUACCGUAUAUGCAUCAUACCGUAUUUACAGCAUACCGUAUUUGCAAAACCGUAUUUGCAAAACUUUAAAAGUAAUAUUGCUGUUUCAGUUUUUGUCUCAAAUGGUAAUUGCCAAAAUAAAUUCGUUUGCUUGGCUAUCAACCUCGAAAAUUCAUGAAAUUCUAGCGUAGAGUUGAAAACUCCUUAUAAUAUGAUAUGUCCAAAAAUCGGCUCCCAUCAACAGCAUAUAGGGUUCUAAAAUAUUUUUCAAACCUCGCAGUGACUCAGGCUAAAAGGUAACCCAGCGCAGCUUACAUUAAGUGUCAUAUAAAAUUCUACACACAUCGAAUCUACAUGAUUUCAACUAUACUCAAUAGCUAACCCUUGAAUAUCAAACCCAAUUGGUUUUCAUCCAAAAAACUCAAGUAAUGAGUGAAUUAUGAAUUUUUUAAAGCCAGGGAAGAAGCUGAAAAACAGAGACAGCACCCAAUGUAGUUUACUUUAUGUGACAUAUAAAAUUCUAUCGACAUCGGAUUAACAUGAUUUCAAGUUUAUUCAGUAGAUAACUUAUUAGGCUAUCUGACGCCACUGUUUUUGUAUAAAAAUACCAAGUAACAAAAGAGUUAUGAAUUUUUAAAGAUGAGGCAGAAACUGAAAUUUUUAAAGAUAUAACAAAACUUUAAAUCGCUAACAUUUUCUUUUUUUUCUUUCUUUUUUUUUUUUUUUGGUAGAAGGUGAUUUGUAAAUUUAUUUCUAUGACACAUAUCUACCUUCAACAUAAUUCAUUCAUAAGAAAUAUUCUUAGAAUAGUUCCAAUAUGACGUCCAUAGAAAUCAAAAUAAAUAAAUAAAUGUAGACAUUCAUAAUUUAAUUAAGAUUUUCAAGUCACCGGCUUUCUCCAUGGCAUGCUGCAUCUCCAUCUACCAUCAUCCACACCCUCAGGCAAGUCAAAUCAAUCUGUAGAAAGGAAAAUUUAACCCAUGAGUUUGAAACUCAAUAGAUAUCAUCGGUGCAUUUCGUUAUCAAAUUAGAAAUUUCGAACUAUAGAUUCAUACCAUCGCACGUAGAUGGAUUUCCAGCAAAAUUCAAUUACUGUAGCAUUAUCAUAACACGUAGAGCCGGAGAAUAAUCAUUCAAGCUAUUGUAGUGCCGUAGUACCAUACCAGGAGGUACCAUUUCAUUCAAACGUUUAUCAAAAAAUCAUAAUUUGAAAACGAAAUAAAUUCUUUCACCUCUAUUUACCUUCGUUUGACGCCUUUGUAGUGAAUGAAAUUGGACGAUAAAUAUUGUUUCCCCGACGGCACCCAAAGCUUUAAAAAUUUUGAUCCUCCUUCAUGUUUUCAUCUUUACUUUUGAAAGCUUUUUCUUGUAUUGUGUAUAUAUGUUAGAAAAGGAUAUGAAUAACCUGAAAGAAAUGAAAAUCAAGUCUCAAAUUCUAGUAGAGAAAUAUUGACAGCAUUAGAGGAGUUUUAAAAUGUUUUUUUUUUUUUUCUUUUUAAAGCUAAAGUUUAAGUUAAGAAAUGAAGGUCAAAUCCCUAUUCAAAAAAAGUGGGCAGCAUUUAAAUUCUUACCUGUGAGUGUGUGUAUAUUUAAAUGUAUAAUUGACAAAUUGAAAGUGAAAGGUGAAAAAACAGUGGCCUUCAAUCACUCACCAUUGCAGACAAUUAAAAUGGAUUAAUGGUAAAACGUAUGUUACAAAUCCCAAUUUCAAUUGCAUUGAAAACUGAAAACGUUUGUGUGUUUGCAAAUUAAUGAUUUGUUUAUUUACCAAUUUAAAUGAUUUUGUUUAUUUACCAAUUAAUGAAAUAUGUUCUUGUGUAUAUUAUAUAUAUAGUUCGUCAUCAUUUAUUUUUUUAAAUCUUUGGUCCCUAACCUUAUUAAACUAAUCAAAACAAGGAAGCAACAUAACCUCAAUUAGAACUUAAUAAACUCUAUUUUAAUUAUAAUUCUAUUUUUCUUAUAAUUCGGUCCUUUUGAAAAAUAACGAACGGAAAUCAAAUCUUAGAAAUAUUUACCAUAAAUAAAUUUUCACCAUCGGGUCAAAUCUUUGGGGAAAACAUUAAAUUCCAUCCAACUUCAUUUAAAAAUUAUUUAAGACAUAUUGGACAAGUAUUGGGCUUUCAUUUCUUGUGUGGGUCGAGCAUAAGGUUAGUCUAUGAGCUAGGUUUGUGGUGCUAGAU
rnacentral:lncRNA from 1 species